rnacentral:lncRNA from 1 species
UCUAGCACUUGUCAGUAAGUGCAUACCUUCCCAACACCCAUCAGUAGGUGUACCUUCCUGGUAUCCUUCAGUAGAUACCUAAAUCUUCUAGCAUCCCUCAGUAGAUGCUACCCGAAAAAAAAAAGUUCAAAAAUACCAAUAUUUACAAAUCCAACUAAAAGAAAAAUAAUAUACAACAAUCACUGGGGUGCCUCCCAGUUAGCGCUCUUUUAACGUCAUUAGCUUUACCCGCCAGAGUUCAAACACCCAUCAGUAGGCGUUGAUACUCCUUUUGCUUGCUAUUUUCUUCUUUUUCUACUUCCUGCUGAAUCUCUUCAAAAAGUUGAUCAAACUAAGCACCGGUUUCAAUGUUUCAAUCAUAGGAAUUUUGAUCUCCAAUUUCUUGAAGAUCUCCAUAUAGUGCUUGAACUUCUUUUCCUUCCUAUGAUUUUUCUUUUUAUGAGGAAGGGGCUUUUCAUAUGAUCUUUUGUUCUUUCCUCUCUUCCUUUUUUUCUCAACCUUCUCCUUCUUCCACUUUCUUUUUUUCUUUUUUCUUAUUUUCUUUUUUUUUUCUUUUUUUUUCUCAACCACUGCUUUUUCUUUUUCCUCGUCUUUCUCUCCCUCAAUCAACCUUUCUGCUUCAUCUUCCUCUAUUUUCUCCUCUUCUAUCUUUUCCACUUCUCUCUCCACCUUCUCCUCAUCAACAACCUCAUCAAUUUGUGUCUCCAAAUUCCUGAAGGUAACUUCAUUUCUCUUGGAAUCACACCUCUCUAGAAAUUUGUCGAACUUUUCAUUCAAGCUUUUGACUUGUUCCGUCACAUCAGCUAUUUGUUGACAAAGUUGUUGAUCAUACUCCCACGUUUCUAUUGGUGAAGAGCAUUGUUGCUGCCAUUGAUAAUGUUGCCUCUCCUCC